UACGUAGGGAGCGAGCGUUGUCCGGAUUCAUUGGGCGUAAAGAGCUCGUAGGCGGCUUGGCAAGUCGGGUGUGAAAACUCCAGGCUCAACCUGGAGACGCCACCCGAUACCUGCCAUGCUAGAGUCCGGUAGGGGACCACGGAAUUCCUGGUGUAGCGGUGAAAUGCGCAGAUAUCAGGAGGAACACCGGUGGCGAAGGCGGGUCUCUGGGCCGAUACUGACGCUGAGGAGCGAAAGCGUGGGGAGCGAACAGG
rnacentral:rRNA from 1 species